GCCUCUCCCCAACCCCACCCCCAAAGUGGAUUGUGAGUGUCCGGUAGUCUCAUUAGGAACAGACGUGGAGAGAAUUCUAGAUGCUUUAGCCAAACCCUUCUACAGAGUCCACGGGACACUUUCUGCUCUUCCUGUGCUUCAGCUCUGCUUCCCUGUGUUGGCGGUGAUGGGGAACUGCCCUUCAACUUAGCAUUCUCUGAAGAAGGUAGUAUCCUAAAGCCCUUGUGUCCCACGUUUGGCUGUUCUUGUGAGUUUGGUACAUAACAUGGAAAGGAGAGGUGCAGCUGGCUGGCCGACGUCACUUCCUGUCCUCCUCUGGGGCAUCCUGUGCAUAAAGGCCGUUAAGGCCGGGCGGCAGCCCCAACUUCUGCAUCUAAGACGUGAGAUUCAGCUCUUGUUUUUUCCACAGUGAGGAUUAUUGCCAGCAAACUGAGUGUGUCUUCCUGUUAGUCCAACAGGUGUUGAGACUGUGCUCCUGAUUCCUGUCAGUGAGUAGACUGAGGAAAUGGGAAUGUUGCUGAUAUUCCACGGGGGGAAAAAAUGUGAUGAAAAAGGAGACUUGGUGGGGAAAGACCUAACUGCAUUCAGAAACCAAAUCCUUCUGGGAGAGGUUCUGGAUGCUGAGGUUCAUUUUUCAUCAGCAAAGAUGAUCAAGCCUUUAAUUCAGUUAUCUUGGGCUUUGGUUGUUUUGACCCACUUUAUUUUCCCUACUGUAAUGAGAACAUUGUUUGAAAAUGUCGUAUUCUGUAUUUCUAACUCUGAGAAAUGCUUUUGUAUGGGUCGUAGGUUUGACGUUGCAGUAGUUGACAUACCUGGUAAGGGAUAACCUAGUGACAAAUCACUGAAAAUGCUUCCUUUGUUACCUCAAAAGAAAAAAAAUCCAGACAAAAUAAAGCAUUUAUAUUUAUAGAAAAUGGAGAAUUGGCUGUUUUCAAGAACUUCAAGUUAAUUCUUAUGCAAGAAAAAGUUCUUAACUCUAAAGACUUGUUCAGCAUCAAGGAGACACUCUUUAAUAUUGGAAGAGGUGGUUUUAUUUUUACAACAAGCCUACUCAUACUACCAAACCUAUAACCAAUUGCUGAUCUCCUGUGUAAAGCAUUUUUUUUCUCUUAUCUGAAACAGUGAUUUAUAUGAACUGUUGGAAUAAUGGAACCUCAAAAUACAGAUGUGUAUGUAAAAUUGCAUAAAUGCACUGACUUCCUUCUCCCUGAAUAUAUUUUUAAUAAACAGCAUUAUCCUACAU
ensembl:lncRNA